rnacentral:rRNA from 1 species
UACGUAGGGCGCAAGCGUUAUCCGGAAUUAUUGGGCGUAAAGAGCUCGUAGGCGGUUGUCGCGUCUGCCGUGAAAGUCCGGGGCUCAACUCCGGAUCUGCGGUGGGUACGGGCAGACUAGAGUGAUGUAGGGGGAGACUGGAAUUCCUGGUGUAGCGGUGAAAUGCGCAGAUAUCAGGAGGAACACCGAUGGCGAAGGCAGGUCUCUGGGCAUUAACUGACGCUGAGGAGCGAAAGCAUGGGGAGCGAACAGG